AGUGAACGCUGGCGGUAGGCCUAACACAUGCAAGUCGAACGGCAGCACAGUAAGAGCUUGCUCUUACGGGUGGCGAGUGGCGGACGGGUGAGGAAUACAUCGGAAUCUACUUUUUCGUGGGGGAUAACGUAGGGAAACUUACGCUAAUACCGCAUACGACCUACGGGUGAAAGCAGGGGAUCUUCGGACCUUGCGCGAUUGAAUGAGCCGAUGUCGGAUUAGCUAGUUGGCGGGGUAAAGGCCCACCAAGGCGACGAUCCGUAGCUGGUCUGAGAGGAUGAACAGCCACACUGGAACUGAGACACGGUCCAGACUCCUACGGGAGGCAGAAGUGGGGAAUAUUGGACAAUGGGCGCAAGCCUGAUCCAGACAUACCGCGUGGGUGAAGAAGGCCUUCGGGUUGUAAAGCCCUUUUGUUGGGAAAGAAAAGCAGCAGGUGAAUACCCCGCUGUUCUGACGGUACCCAAAGAAUAAGCACCGGCUAACUUCGUG
rnacentral:rRNA from 1 species